rnacentral:misc_RNA from 1 species
GAUGAAGAACGUAGCGAAAUGCGAUACGUAAUGUGAAUUGCAGAAUUCAGUGAAUCAUCGAAUCUUUGAACGCACAUUGCGCCCGCCAGUAUUCUGGCGAGCAUGCCUGUUCGAGCGCCAUUUCAACCAUCAAGCCCCAGGCUUGUGUUGGAGCCCUGCGGCUGCCGCAGCCUCCCAAAACCAGUGGCGGGCUCGCUAUCACACCGAGUGCAGUAGUUUACUCUUCGCUCAGGGCGUGUGGCGGGUGCUAGCCGUGAAACCCCCAACUUCUCAAGGUUGACCUCGGAUCAGGUAGGAAUACCCGCUGAACUUAAGCAUAUCAAUAAGCGGAGGA